GACAGAGGUGCCGAGCGUUAGGCGGAAUCACUGGGCUUAAAGCGUGUGUAGGCGGGUCGUUAAGUGUCUUGUGAAAUCCCACCGCUCAACGGUGGAACUGCUGGGCAUACUGGCGAUCUUGAGCCACCUAGGGGCAGACGGAACAAGCGGUGGAGCGGUGAAAUGCGUAGAUAUCGCUUGGAACGCCGACGGUGAAAACAGUCUGCUGGGAGUGUGCUGACGCUGAGACACGAAGCCAGGGGAGCGAACGGG
rnacentral:rRNA from 1 species